GGAGGCGGUGGACAUGUGGUUUAUUCGAAGCACGCGAAGAACCUUACCAGGUCUUGACAUCCUUUGACCACUCUAGAGAUAGAGCUUCCCCUUCGGGGGCAAAGUGACAGGUGGUGCAUGGUUGUCGUCAGCUCGUGUCGUGAGAUGUUGGGUUAAGUCCCGCAACGAGCGCAACCCUUAUUGUUAGUUGCCACCAUUCAGUUGGGCACUCUAGCAAGACUGCCGGUGACAAACCGGAGGAAGGUGGGGAUGACGUCAAAUCAUCAUGCCCCUUAUGACCUGGGCUACACACGUGCUACAAUGGGAAGUACAACGAGUUGCGAAGUCGCGAGGCUAAGCUAAUCUCUUAAAGCUUCUCUCAGUUCGGAUUGCAGGCUGCAACUCGCCUGCAUGAAGCCGGAAUCGCUAGUAAUCGCGGAUCAGCACGCCGCGGUGAAUACGUUCCCGGGCCUUGUACACACCGCCCGUAAAA
rnacentral:rRNA from 1 species